rnacentral:lncRNA from 10 species
CUGAGUCAGAGUCCACAAAUCAAACAGCCCCUAGAAACCUGCCCUUCUCUGGCAGGGUUAGGGCUGAGACUGGGCCCUCAGACCAUUUGGAAUGACCAGUGAUUUCAGCUCUCACUCCCUUCUCAUCAGCACGUGUCUACAGUUGCAAAAAAUUAUGCAGAAGAGCAGAUCAGAUUGACGCAGUUUGAUAAGGAUUCAGCCCACCAUUGCUGACUUUGAAGAUGAAGGAGAGGGACCAUGAGCCACAGAAAACCAGCAGCCUCUAGGAACUGGAAAAAGCAAGGAAAUGGAUUUUCCCCUAGAGCUUCAUCCUCCCUCCCAGCACAAGGUCUUAGCACUGUUUCAUCUUCCCAGAAGGCUUUUCCCUCUUCCACCCUGCUUCUAGUCCCAAUAUCAUCACCAGAUGAGAAUAUGUAUGGAUUCAUGAACAAGAAAAUUGCUUAACCAUUUGAUCAAGAGAGAUUGGAAAAUCAAGAUGAAGCAGGUCUGGGUGAAAGAGCUGUGAAUGGAUUAAUGGAACAGAAAGGAGGUGUGGAGAUCCUUCUAUUACAUGUUAAUGAUCACCAGGGAACAUCCACUACAAUAGAACAUCCCACUAAAUCACCAGUAGACACAAGAGAAUAUGUGGCCAGUUGACUUUGGCCAGCCUCUGUCAUUAGAUGUCAAUGUUCAAACAACGGUACAUGAAUGGCAUAGCCCUGGUAGCAGGAGUGGGGGCUAUGCAUGGAUCCAGCAAUACACACUCCCACUCCACAACAUUGACCCAGCCACCAAGGCUGACAAAAUAUUCAACCUUCCAGCAACAGAAACCAAGGAUGACCCUUAUCCCUGCCCAGGUAUGGUAUUAGCCCUUGAGACUAACCAGCCAUGUGGUGGGAAGUUGAAUAUCUUCUACCCUGGAAAGGUCAUUGAUUCAUUUUAGUAUGAAUUAAUUCAUGUUUCUGGGUUGGAUUUGCUGUUCUUGCCUGCAGGGCCUCAGCUGGCACCAGCAUCUAAAGGCUUAGAGAGUUAGUGAUCCACCAACAUGGCAUCUCACAUAACAUCCCAUCAAACCAAGUGACCCACUUUACUAGAAAUGAGGUGCACGAGUGGACAAGCUCCAGCUUGACCCAAGUGGAACAAGCUCUACUAGUCCCAUCAGAUCAUGCACCAUCCAGAAGCUGCCACACUAACAGAGUGAUGGAAAGGCCUGUUGAAGGCAUAGUGGAUGAGCCACACCAUUGCAAGGUAAUGUCAUCGGAGGUUUAUUUAGCAUGUGUAUUACACCCAGAAGAAUGGUGUCCCAUCCUUGCAAGGUAAUGUCAUCAUCAGAUUCUCCUGGGUGUAAUAUACAUGCUAAACAAACAAUCAUUAUAUGAUGCUGUGUCCCCAAGAGGUAAAAUAUGUGGGAGCUAAGGAGUGGAAGCAGCAAUAGCCUCACUUACCAUCAAUACAAUUGACUCCUUAGGGAACUUGUGCCUAGGCUCUGUGGGUUUAGAGGUCCUGGUGCCCAAAGGAGAUGUGCUUCCAUCAGGGAAUACAACAAGCAUUCAAUUGAACAUGAGGUUAAGGCUGCCACUUGGGAGCAUCAGGCUCCUCAUGCCAAGAGAUCACCAAGCAAAAAGAGGAAUCACCGUACCAUGAGCAUUAAUCAAUCCCAUUCUUCAGAAGGAGAUGGGACUGCUGACACAAGGCCACAGAGAGGCCCCCAGAUAACUUGCCUGGGUGUCCCUUAGAAUUCCCUUGCCCAUUUUUUAAUAAUAGAUGGAUAAAUGCAACAGUCUCCACCUAACAAAGGCAUAAUGAUGGGACUUCUCAAGAGUGAGAAGCUAGGUCAUUCCACCAGCCAAGUAGACCAGCAGAGGUACCAAAAAGAGACAGGAAAUCUAGACUGUAAAGUAAAACAGGAAGAUUCCCCAGGAACAGAAGCCAACUGUGAUCCUAGAGGAGCUUCUCCUUAACAUGCAGAAAGAAGUGGAUCCAUGAAGCACAAGAGCUGAGCUGUCAUGGAAACUGCACAUCUCAAAUUUCCCAUCAGGACUGAAGGACCUAGUCCCCCACAGGCUGAAGACAGUCACCUUACCCAACUUCAUGCUCUCUUCCAGGGGCAGCCUGCAUCCAACAACUUGUCAGCACAGGACUAUAAAGGCCUUACCCUUUGCCUCUGUGAAGCAUCCCACAGAGAGGUGCAUCCACCUCUGAAGGUACAUCCCAGCUUCAGGCUCCCAGUCACUUUGGGCUUACCCAGCCUCUUCGUCUGCCCUGCUUUUCUCCCUCCCCUUCCUUCCUGCAGGUUUGGAUCCUGAGAGCACUCCCUAAUAAACCUCAUGCCCACAAAUCUCUAUCUUGGAAUCUGCUUCUUCGGAACCAAAUCUGGGACAGAUCAAUUUACAAAGAUAGAAGGGUUUAGGAAGGCAAAAGGGUUUCUGUUACCAUGUCUAGGCCUGAAGGGACAAAGAGAGGAACUUGGAGCAAGAGCCAUAUGGAAAAAACAAUCUGAAAGAUUGUAGGGAUUCUGGCAGAAGCACAAGGCCAAGCCCUGGCAAUCCCCACCUCACAUCCCUCCGCUCUUUCAUCUCCCCUUAGUGCCUCCCAUUGUAGAACCAAACUGGAAGUGGUGGUCAGUGGAUUCCUUUGUCUGUUUCUUAUAGGUCAGCCUCCUGGGGCAGAGAGCAUGUUAGAGUGUGGAUUUGGAGGUGCAAAUGAAAGUUACCCUGUAGCCCACUUGACUCUGUAGAUUUCUUUUUCUCUUACAGAAAAUAAAUUAAAUUAUGUAUCUUCUUUAGAGAUAGGGUAUGACUUCUAUUUUGAGUUAUCUGUGUCAUUUAAUUAAUAUACAAAUAAAAUGACAUGACAGAAAAUACUUACUUGAAUACAAAGGACAAGUAAUUAGAUCUUAGAUAAUAAAUCCAUCCCUUUAGAUAAGACUUUAGGCAAAUGGAUUUAUAAGUAAAAGCAAUAGGAAAACUUGCUACCUAAGCAUGAAAAAUGAUGUUCCUGAUAAAUUCCUGGAAGGAAGCUGGUGUCAGCCCCCAACUCCUUUCUAGGCCUCUACCAGCCUAUAUUCCAAAUGGCCCUGCCAUGGCUCUUCUUUUCUUAAGAUUUGAUCUUUCUCCAGGCAUGGAUGAACCACAUGUAAGACAUUUAAACAGCCCAGGUGCCAAAUUUAGUAGGGCUUAGGAUUACACAACAUUCCCAAACCUGGGAUCUGAAGGGCCAGGUGCUGACCAACAGGAUCCCAAAUUCAUCCCAGGGGCUCUUUGACCGAUAACCAGAAUGUGAAUUCAACUGCUGGAUGACCCCAUGCAAAGCUCUCCCUGGCGCUGAGUAAUCCAGUUCCCUUUUCAUUAAAAGCCAUCUACUUUCCCAGGAGGGGGAAUCCUUCUGCACAGCCCAUUCCUAUGACUAAGCUCUGUGUUCACAAGGAAGAUCUCCUCUCAGUCCUGCUAUGCCCCCACUGCUGAGCUUGGAACCCCAAUACUAAGUAUAGCCUGUGUCACAAUUGUUCUUGCUGAGAUCUUCUACUAUUGCCUGAACACAACUCAUUCCUGAUCCCCUCUAGUGAGUAUGUCCCUGGCCAUUUUUCAGCACUUUUAUCCUCUUUUCUUGCUCUGAGUUUUCAUGGACAGGGUAUCUAGGAAAAGGAAAAGGAAGAAGGAAUAAAUCAAAUGCCUACAGACCUUCAAAGAGUGCUCCAAAGCCAGUGUAAAGCACUGGGGAACAGUGAGGAUUAGGGCAAAAUAUUUCUUAUAAUGUUCUGAGUUUCAUGAGUUGAAGGCUUUAGUGCUUAAUGUCCAAAUGAUGCAAAUGAAAACACCCUUUCAUUCUUCUUUUCCUUUUUAAAAAACAAGGAAGAAGACAGUCAAAGCCUCAGUCUAUACUAUAUUUACACUUGACUCAAAUGCAUUAAUAACAUUGUAGACUAAGGAGGUAUCUGGGGGAAAAAUAGUUUUGUGAUUUAACUGUAGUGCAAAUUUUACCUAGUAAAAGGUUUUUGAUAUUUAUCCUCAGAGAAGAUCUA